rnacentral:rRNA from 1 species
UACGGGGGGGGCAAGCGUUGUUCGGAAUUACUGGGCGUAAAGGGCUCGUAGGUUGCCAACUAAGUCAGACGUGAAAUCCCUCAGCUUAACUGGGGAACUGCGUCUGAUACUGGAUGGCUUGAGUUUGGGAGAGGGAUGCGGAAUUCCAGGUGUAGCGGUGAAAUGCGUAGAUAUCUGGAGGAAUACCGGUGGCGAAGGCGGCAUCCUGGACCGGCAUUGACGCUGAGGAGCGAAAGCCAGGGGAGCAAACGGG